GAAAAAUGUUUGCUCAAUCUGAUACCAUUAGAUUUAUCCAAAGUAACAUUAUGACACCAUGAGGUAAGACCAUUGAGGUAUUCAAAUGUUAUAGGAAAUUAUCUGGGGGCCAUCAGUAAGACCUACAGCAUGGGUGUAGAUGAUCCCAUGGUGUUUGCAGCCCUGGGGACUCUACUGUGUUUGCUCUUCUGUUCUAUGGGUGGGCACAGACACAGCAAGGGGCCGCAUUGUGCAGCUACAUGGAGAAAGCAGGCGUGUGUGUGUGUGUGUGUGUGUACAUGCUUCUCUGACCUCUUCACCUGGCUGGGAAACCCUUUUGGUCAGGAUCCUGAAAAAGGCCCCAAAACAUGCUUCCCAAAAUAAGUAAAAAAGGGAAAUUCAUUAAGCAGGAAAAUAAUUCUGAGUUGGCCCUGAAACUAGAGCUUUCUGUUAAAAUUAUGCAGUUCAGCCAGGCAUAGUGGUAUACUCCUGUAAUCCCAGUGACUCAGGAGGAUGAGGCAGGAGAAUUGCAAGUUAGAGGCUAGCCUCAGCAACUUAGUGAGACCUUAAGUAACUUAGCAACACCCUGUCUUGAAAUAAAAAAAUAACAAUAAGGCUGAGGUUGAGGCUUAGUAUAGAGCGCUUGCCUUACACGUGUGAGGCAUUUGGUUUGAUCUUCAGCACCACAUAAAAAUAAAGUUUAAAUAAUAAUAAUAAAAGCUGGGGAUGUGAAUCAGUGGUAAAAUGUUUCAGAGGAAGAUGAAAGCUAAUCAUUUCUUUCAUUUCUAGAAGUUAUAAAAUUAAAAACACUUAAUUAAGGUCAUGUCGCAGAAAGGCUUUGCAAUUAUUAUUCACAGGAACUUUAUUGUAAUUGUCUGAUAAUUUUAGAGAUUCCUUUAUAACAAGCCCUUUCAUUAACUCCUCCUGGAACAGAUAAUUUUCUAUAUUACAUUUGAAUUUCAUUUUAUAGAGACUAAUAAAUGAUUUCAGAGUAUAUAUGUCAAAUAGAUUAAAACUGAAUGUUGGUAUGACUCAAGAAACCUGAAUUCUGCUUGGAUCAAUGCCAGUUAAAAUACUUAAUCAUAUCAUAAUUAUGUUGAGGUCUCAUGUGCUUCACUUAUAGCAUUCCUUGCUAAUUCAAGCAGUGACAUCUACAAAGCUUUGAUCUAUUUUUUUGCCAGGCUUCCUCCAGUUAGACAGUUGUGUUAUAUGUCUGUGAUCUGACUUUUGCCUUAAAAGUUGUUCUUCUUUCAAAAUGCACUUAUUUGGGAAAUCGUAAAAUGUGCAGAGCUACGUAGCACAGAGCCAAGUGCUGGGUGCUGGUGUGUUCAAAGGAAGGAAGCUGAUGUGCCCUCACGUGUUGAAUGGCAGACACCGAGCAGGCGCAGGUGGUGCACCCUUGAGCUUGGUGAGUCUUGGGAAGAGGCGCUCUGGGGGCAGCUGCCUCUGGAGAACACAUUUGUAAUAUUCUCGGGUCCCAGGAGAGGAAGAGAUGGUUUUGCUUUUGAUGUGGAAAUCUUAUUAAGGCUUUCUACAGGGAAAAGGAAGUGGAAAACAAAUGCACCCAUGAUAAUCAGUUUCUUAUAACAUUCUUUGGUAAUACUGGCUUGGUUGUUUUUAGUGGAAAUCAUUAGCUUCCAUUUUUAGUAUAAUAGCAACUAUUGGCUAAAUUAGUCUAUAGGAGGCCAUUAAGAUGGAUGUUGGAAUUAAAAACAUUUUUGGAAGAAAGCCUGGUCUGAGCCUUUGUUAUAAGCCCUCGGGCAGGGACCUGGGUCCUGUUCCUGUUCCUGUUGUCACUCUGACACUUCAUUUCCAGAUACACAUUCUUAGUGACUUGCUCCCGGAAGAAAACUGGAGCACACAGACCAGCUUCUCCCCUUCCAGUCUCUUUAUGAGUCAAAUAUUUACUUUCCUGUCAUGUUAAGAAAUGGUAGAUUUAUUUUACCCUGAGCAUUUGUGAUAUAUUUUAUCUUUUUCUUAUUUAAAAGGAGCUUGUAGAUGUGGGAUGGAGUUGACUACAUGCUGUGUGCUGGCUUUUAUUCUCCAUUUUUAACUACAACAGUCAUUAUAUGUUUAUAUGUUUAUCUGUUAUCUGACUUUUGCCUUACAUGUAACAUUUACAUGUAACAGUUACAUUAGAAGCAAAGGUAUGUCAGGCAUGGUGGCACACGCCUGUAACCCCAGCGGUUUGGGAGGCUGAAUGGUGAGUUCAAAGACAGCCUCAGCAAUUUAGUGAGGCCUUAAGCAACUUAGUGAGGCCCUAAGCAACUUAGUGAGAUCCUGUCUCUAAAUAAAAUAUGAAAAGGGCUGGGGAUGUGGUUCAGUGGUUCAAUCCUC
rnacentral:lncRNA from 1 species